UACGGGGGGGGCAAGCGUUGUUCGGAAUUACUGGGCGUAAAGGGCUCGUAGGCGGCUAACUAAGUCAGACGUGAAAUCCCUCGGCUUAACCGGGGAACUGCGUCUGAUACUGGUUGGCUUGAAUCCGGGAGAGGGAUGUGGAAUUCCAGGUGUAGCGGUGAAAUGCGUAGAUAUCUGGAGGAACACCGGUGGCGAAGGCGGCAUCCUGGACCGGUAUUGACGCUGAGGAGCGAAAGCCAGGGGAGCAAACGGG
rnacentral:rRNA from 1 species